CUUGGGGCGGGGGGUCCCUCAGCCUGGAUUGCAAGAGGGAGCAGGCCAGGCUGAGGAAUCCCACCGGUGCACG
rnacentral:pre_miRNA from 1 species